rfam:Asian citrus Psyllid, Diaphorina citri - Florida Strain, whole genome shotgun sequence.
GUCAGCGGAGACAGCACGUUGAAUGUAUCAGCUCUCAAUGGAUCACUGAAGUUAAAUAAUAUUGCGCGUGGUUAGGAACCGGAUGGGUGGCCAUCUGGGCAAUCACGUGUUGGCUUUUC